rnacentral:sRNA from 1 species
GCCGGUGAGAGGAGGGACAUGCAGCUUCUACUGCCUGUGGCUUCGUGGAAGCUCUGCUGAGUUAUCUGUGGCUUCCACUCUGCCGGGUUAUCUGUGGCCAAUGUCUACCUACCUGGCAGGGCGAGGCCUAUCCUCUUUUGACCCCCUUGGUCAGUACGUGCCCAGGAACCAUGUUCAAUAUCAUCUUGGAUCAAGUGCACUCAGGAUGAUAAAUGUGCUGUGAAACCACCUCCACAGCCUGAAUGUCCACAGUCAGACUGGAAAACCUUGGUGAUAGCUCUGGUGUGAGCCUGCCCUUGCUGCUGGGCCCUGCGUGAGUGCGGAGGCCAUGGCAGAGUACAGGGAGGCCAUAAGCCCCACAUCACUUUCCUUUAAUCUUUUUGCAGGGGGGAGUCUCGCCUUCUUCCUCGGCUUCCCGGGUGCAACCUAGCCUGCUGCAGUGGGUGAAGUUUUGGUAGGCAAUUUCUUCCAACCACCACCAAGGCCCCGAAAAGCACUGGUCAUCAGGGAGCUCCUCCCCUUGGCCCCCAGCCUGUGCCAGCCCUGGCCCGGCUGCCAUACCUCUGUUUCCUAGGCUGGGGACCCAGCUUGUCUCUCCUUGUUUCUUCCCACUGCACUGGGGUGCUUCAGUGACCACCAGCCUCAUCGGAUACACCAGC